rnacentral:lncRNA from 1 species
AGAAUCCAUUUGGGGUCGGCAGGCUCCGGAGCUGCCGCGAGGUGGACAACACAAAACCAAAAGCCGAAGUUGGAAAA